GGAGUUAAGGAGACCUGUUAGAAUCCGGUCUUUGACUGGAAACAGAAUGAGCAAGACAAAGGAGAUCAGGGAUGUGAUCUAUAAGAUUGGAAGAGAGUGACCUGAAAAGGGGACUUAACCA
rnacentral:lncRNA from 1 species